GGGUGAGUAAUGCGUAGGAAUCUACCUAGUAGUACGGAAUAGCCAUUAGAAAUGGUGGGUAAUACUGUAUAAUCCCCGAGGGGGAAAGAUUUAUCGCUAUUAGAUGAGCCUACGUUAGAUUAGCUAGUUGGUGAGGUAAUGGCUUACCAAGGCUAUGAUCUAUAGCUGGUCUGAGAGGACGAUCAGCCACACUGGAACUGAGAUACGGUCCAGACUCCUACGGGAGGCAGCAGUGGGGAAUAUUGGACAAUGGGCGAAAGCCUGAUCCAGCUAUGCCGCGUGAGUGAAGAAGGCCUUCGGGUUGUAAAACUCUUUCAAUAGGGAAGAUAAUGACGGUACCU
rnacentral:rRNA from 1 species